CCUACGGGGGGCAGCAGUGGGGAAUAUUGCACAAUGGGCGCAAGCCUGAUGCAGCCAUGCCGCGUGUGUGAAGAAGGCCUUCGGGUUGUAAAGCACUUUCAGCGGGGAGGAAGGCGGUGAGGUUAAUAACCUCAUCGAUUGACGUUACCCGCAGAAGAAGCACCGGCUAACUCCGUGCCAGCAGCCGCGGUAAUACGGAGGGUGCAAGCGUUAAUCGGAAUUACUGGGCGUAAAGCGCACGCAGGCGGUCUGUCAAGUCGGAUGUGAAAUCCCCGGGCUCAACCUGGGAACUGCAUUCGAAACUGGCAGGCUAGAGUCUUGUAGAGGGGUGGAGAAUUCCCGGUGUAGCGGUGAAAUGCGUAGAGAUCUGGAGGAAUACCGGUGGCGAAGGCGGCCCCCUGGACAAAGACUGACGCUCAGGUGCGAAAGCGUGGGGAGCAAACAGGAUUAGAUACCCCGGUAGUC
rnacentral:rRNA from 1 species